AUACGCCUUGAAUAUAUUAGCAUGGAAUAAUAAUAUAGGAUCUUGGUUCUAUUUUGUUGGUUUCUAGAGCUAAGAUAAUGAUUAAUAGGGACAAUUGGGGGCAUUCGUAUUAACGCGUCAGAGGUGAAAUUCUUGGAUUGCGUUACGACGAACUACUGCGAAAGCAUUUGCCAAGGAUGUUUUCAUUGAUCAAGAACGAAAGUAAGGGGAUCGAAGACGAUUAGAUACCGUCGUAGUCUUUACCAUAAACUAUGCCAACUAGAGAUGGGACAUCGUCUACUUACGACUUGUUCCGCACCUUAUGAGAUAUCAAAGUCUUUGGGUUCCGGGGGGAGUAUGGUCGCAAGUCUGAAACUUAAGGGAAUUGACGGAAGGGCACCACCAGGAGUGGAGCCUGCGGCUUAAUUUGACUCAACACGGGGAAACUCACCAGGUCCAGACAUAAUAAGGAUUGACAGAUUGAUAGCUCUUUCUUGAUUUUAUGGGUGGUGGUGCAUGGCCGUUCUUAGUUCGUGGAGUGAUUUGUCUGCUUAAUUGCGUUAACGAACGAGACCUUGACCUACUAAAUAGUAGCUAGUAUCUUCGGAUAUCAGACUGCUUCUUAGCGGGACUUUGCGCAUUUUAGCGUAAGGAAGUUCGAGGCAAUAACAGGUCUGUGAUGCCCUUAGAUGUUCUGGGCUGCACGCGCGCUACACUGAUGCGUUCAACGAGUGUAUCACCUUUUCCGAUAGGAAUGGGUAAUCUUUUGAACACGCAUCGUGAUGGGGAUAGAUUAUUGUAAUUAUUAAUCUUCAACGAGGAAUUCCUAGUAAUGAUGAAUCAUCAGUUCAUCGUGAUUACGUCCCUGCCCUUUGUACACACCGCCCGUCGCUCCUACCGAUUGAGCAAUCCGGUGAAUAUUUCGGACCGCUACCUUUAUUGGUUCGCCAAUUUUGGUUCUGGAAAGUCAAGUGAACCUUAUUGCUUAGAGGAAGGAGAAGUCGUAACAAGGUUUCCGUAG
rnacentral:rRNA from 1 species